rnacentral:lncRNA from 10 species
CGGCCUCCCAAAGUGCUGGGAUUACAAGCGUGAGCCACCGCGCCCGGCCCGCAUCUCUUGUUUGGCUCCCAUGAACAACAUCUUCCCUUUCCUGGCCUGCUGUUGCUCUGGCAUGUGACCAAUUUUUGUGAACAUGUAUGUGAUCCAAAUAUUGACAGUUCACCAUGCCACACCUUACCCCAGCCUCAUCAUAGCAUACUCUAGGGACACAAGAGGCGAUUUCAAGAAACACUAAUAGGAUUGUGAGAAAGUUGGCCAAGGAAGAGGAACAGCCAAUAAACGGUGACUUGUCAAGACAGUUAGGACCCUGGGAGCUAAAUCUGCCUGGAGAACUCUGGAAAUCAGUGUGGAACACAUACUUCAGCAUCAUCUCAGCUAAUGGACAAGUAAGCUUUCUGACUGAAGCCCAUGUUUUGACUGGAGCACCUUGAUUAAACAGAAGACCCUCUGAGGAAACACCACAGACAAAAGUGUACAUGGUAAAUAUUCCUCCAAGAUUUCCCAAAGGAUCAUAUGGCUG